GUGGGGAAUCUUGCGCAAUGGGCGAAAGCCUGACGCAGCCAUGCCGCGUGAAUGAUGAAGGUCUUAGGAUUGUAAAAUUCUUUCACCGGGGACGAUAAUGACGGUACCCGGAGAAGAAGCUCCGGCUAACUUCGUGCCAGCAGCCGCGGUAAUACGAAGGGGGCUAGCGUUGCUCGGAAUUACUGGGCGUAAAGGGCGCGUAGGCGGACAGCUUAGUCAGAGGUGAAAGCCCAGGGCUCAACCUUGGAAUUGCCUUUGAUACUGGCUGUCUUGAGUGUGGGAGAGGUGAGUGGAACUCCGAGUGUAGAGGUGAAAUUCGUAGAUAUUCGGAAGAACACCAGUGGCGAAGGCGACUCACUGGCCCAAUACUGACGCUGAGGCGCGAAAGCGUGGGGAGCAAACAGGAUUAGAUACCCCUGUAGUCC
rnacentral:rRNA from 1 species